rnacentral:rRNA from 1 species
AGCUAGUUGGUGAGGUAACGGCCCACCAAGGCGACGAUCGGUAGCCGGACUGAGAGGUUGAACGGCCACAUUGGGACUGAGACACGGCCCAGACUCCUACGGGAGGCAGCAGUGGGGAAUAUUGCACAAUGGGGGAAACCCUGAUGCAGCGACGCCGCGUGGAGGAAGAAGGUCUUCGGAUUGUAAACUCCUGUUGUUGAGGAAGAUAAUGACGGUACUCAACAAGGAAGUGACGGCUAACUACGUGCCAGCAGCCGCGGUAAAACGUAGGUCACAAGCGUUGUCCGGAAUUACUGGGUGUAAAGGGAGCGCAGGCGGGAGAACAAGUUGGAAGUGAAAUCCAUGGGCUCAACCCAUGAACUGCUUUCAAAACUGUUUUUCUUGAGUAGUGCAGAGGUAGGCGGAAUUCCCGGUGUAGCGGUGGAAUGCGUAGAUAUCGGGAGGAACACCAGUGGCGAAGGCGGCCUACUGGGCACCAACUGACGCUGAGGCUCGAAAGUGUGGGUAGCAAACAGGAUUAGAUACCCUGGUAGUCCACACCGUAAACGAUGAUUACUAGGUGUUGGAGGAUUGACCCCUUCAGUGCCGCAGUUAACACAAUAAGUAAUCCACCUGGGGAGUACGACCGCAAGGUUGAAACUCAAAGGAAUUGACGGGGGCCCGCACAAGCAGUGGAGUAUGUGGUUUUAUUCGACGCAACGCGAAGAACCUUACCAAGUCUUGACAUCCCUUGACGAUGCUGGAAACAGUAUUUCUCUUCGGAGCAAGGAGACAGGUGGUGCAUGGUUGUCGUCAGCUCGUGUCGUGAGAUGUUGGGUUAAGUCCCGCAACGAGCGCAACCCUUAUGGUCAGUUACCACGCAAGAGGACUCUGGCCAGACUGCCGUUGACAAAACGGAGGAAGGUGGGGAUGACGUCAAAUCAUCAUGCCCUUUAUGACUUGGGCUACACACGUACUACAAUGGCGUUAAACAAAGAGAAGCAAGACCGCGAGGUGGAGCAAAACUCAGAAACAACGUCCCAGUUCGGACUGCAGGCUGCAACUCGCCUGCACGAAGUCGGAAUUGCUAGUAAUCGUGGAUCAGCAUGCCACGGUGAAUACGUUCCCGGGCCUUGUACACACCGCCCGUCACACCAUGAGAGCCGGGGGGACCCGAAGUCGGUAGUCUAACCGCAAGGAGGACGCCGCCGAAGGUAAAACUGGUGAUUGGGGUGAAGUCGUAACAAGGUAGCCGUAGGAGAACCUGCGGCUG